rnacentral:rRNA from 1 species
AGAGUUUGAUCAUGGCUCAGAAUCAACGCUGGCGGCGUGCCUAACACAUGCAAGUCGAACGAGAAAGUGGAGCAAUCCAUGAGUAAAGUGGCGCACGGGUGAGUAACACGUGACUAACCUACCCUGGAGUGGGGGAUAACUGAGGGAAACCUUAGCUAAUACCGCAUAAUACCUACGGGUCAAAGGAGCAAUUCGCUUCAGGAGGGGGUCGCGGCCGAUUAGUUAGUUGGCGGGGUAAUGGCCCACCAAGACAGUGAUCGGUAUCCGGCCUGAGAGGGCGCACGGACACACUGGAACUGAAACACGGUCCAGACUCCUACGGGAGGCAGCAGUGGGGAAUUUUGCGCAAUGGGGGAAACCCUGACGCAGCAACGCCGCGUGGAGGAUGAAGUCCUUCGGGACGUAAACUCCUUUCGAUCGGGACGAUUAUGACGGUACCGGAAGAAGAAGCCCCGGCUAACUUCGUGCCAGCAGCCGCGGUAAUACGAGGGGGGCGAGCGUUGUUCGGAAUUAUUGGGCGUAAAGGGUGCGUAGGCGGUUUUGUAAGUCUUAUGUGAAAUCUAUGGGCUCAACUCAUAGACUGCAUGAGAAACUGCAGGGCUUGAGUAUGGGAGAGGUGAGUGGAAUUCCUGGUGUAGCGGUGAAAUGCGUAGAUAUCAGGAGGAACACCUGUGGCGAAAGCGGCUCACUGGACCAUAACUGACGCUGAUGCACGAAAGCUAGGGGAGCAAACAGGAUUAGAUACCCUGGUAGUCC